UACGGGGGGAGCAAGCGUUGUUCGGAUUUACUGGGCGUAAAGGGCGCGUAGGCGGUCAGCACAAGUCAGUUGUGAAAUCUCCGGGCUUAACUCGGAAAGGUCAACUGAUACUGUGCGACUAGAGUGCAGAAGGGGCAACUGGAAUUCUCGGUGUAGCGGUGAAAUGCGUAGAUAUCGGGAAGAACACCAGUGGCGAAAGCGGCUCUCUGGGGACCACCUGACGCUGAGGCGCGAAAGCGUGGGGAGCGAACCGG
rnacentral:rRNA from 1 species